ACGAACGCUGGCGGCGUGCCUAAUACAUGCAAGUAGAACGCUGAAGAGAGGAGCUUGCUCUUCUUGGAUGAGUUGCGAACGGGUGAGUAACGCGUAGGUAACCUGCCUUGUAGCGGGGGAUAACUAUUGGAAACGAUAGCUAAUACCGCAUAACAAUGGAUGACACAUGUCAUUUAUUUGAAAGGGGCAAUUGCUCCACUACAAGAUGGACCUGCGUUGUAUUAGCUAGUAGGUGAGGUAACGGCUCACCUAGGCGACGAUACAUAGCCGACCUGAGAGGGUGAUCGGCCACACUGGGACUGAGACACGGCCCAGACUCCUACGGGAGGCAGCAGUAGGGAAUCUUCGGCAAUGGGGGCAACCCUGACCGAGCAACGCCGCGUGAGUGAAGAAGGUUUUCGGAUCGUAAAGCUCUGUUGUAAGUCAAGAACGAGUGUGAGAGUGGAAAGUUCACACUGUGACGGUAGCUUACCAGAAAGGGACGGCUAACUACGUGCCAGCAGCCGCGGUAAUACGUAGGUCCCGAGCGUUGUCCGGAUUUAUUGGGCGUAAAGCGAGCGCAGGCGGUUUGAUAAGUCUGAAGUUAAAGGCUGUGGCUCAACCAUAGUUCGCUUUGGAAACUGUCAAACUUGAGUGCAGAAGGGGAGAGUGGAAUUCCAUGUGUAGCGGUGAAAUGCGUAGAUAUAUGGAGGAACACCGGUGGCGAAAGCGGCUCUCUGGUCUGUAACUGACGCUGAGGCUCGAAAGCGUGGGGAGCGAACAGGAUUAGAUACCCUGGUAGUCCACGCCGUAAACGAUGAGUGCUAGGUGUUGGAUCCUUUCCGGGAUUCAGUGCCGCAGCUAACGCAUUAAGCACUCCGCCUGGGGAGUACGACCGCAAGGUUGAAACUCAAAGGAAUUGACGGGGGCCCGCACAAGCGGUGGAGCAUGUGGUUUAAUUCGAAGCAACGCGAAGAACCUUACCAGGUCUUGACAUCCCGAUGCUAUUUCUAGAGAUAGAAAGUUACUUCGGUACAUCGGUGACAGGUGGUGCAUGGUUGUCGUCAGCUCGUGUCGUGAGAUGUUGGGUUAAGUCCCGCAACGAGCGCAACCCCUAUUGUUAGUUGCCAUCAUUCAGUUGGGCACUCUAGCGAGACUGCCGGUAAUAAACCGGAGGAAGGUGGGGAUGACGUCAAAUCAUCAUGCCCCUUAUGACUUGGGCUACACACGUGCUACAAUGGUUGGUACAACGAGUUGCGAGUCGGUGACGGCAAGCUAAUCUCUUAAAGCCAAUCUCAGUUCGGAUUGUAGGCUGCAACUCGCCUACAUGAAGUCGGAAUCGCUAGUAAUCGCGGAUCAGCACGCCGCGGUGAAUACGUUCCCGGGCCUUGUACACACCGCCCGUCACACCACGAGAGUUUGUAACACCCGAAGUCGGUGAGGUAACCUUUUGGAGCCAGCCGCCUAAGGUGGGAUAGAUGAUUGGGGUG
rnacentral:rRNA from 1 species